rnacentral:rRNA from 1 species
CCUACGGGGGGCUGCAGUGGGGAAUAUUGGACAAUGGGGGGAACCCUGAUCCAGCCAUGCCGCGUGUGUGAAGAAGGCCCUCGGGUUGUAAAGCACUUUCAGUGAGGAAGAACGCCUGGUGGUUAAUACCCAUCAGGAAAGACAUCACCCACAGAAGAAGCACCGGCUAACUCCGUGCCAGCAGCCGCGGUAAUACGGAGGGUGCGAGCGUUAAUCGGAAUUACUGGGCGUAAAGCGCGCGUAGGUGGCUUGAUAAGCCGGUUGUGAAAGCCCCGGGCUCAACCUGGGAACGGCAUCCGGAACUGGCAAGCUAGAGUGUAGGAGAGGAAAGUAGAAUUCCCGGUGUAGCGGUGAAAUGCGUAGAGAUCGGGAGGAAUACCAGUGGCGAAGGCGGCCUUCUGGACUGACACUGACACUGAGGUGCGAAAGCGUGGGUAGCAAACAGGAUUAGAUACCCUGGUAGUC